GGCUCGAGUGCCCCUGUUCAGGUGCUCCCGCCUAACCAGUGUCCCCGUGUCUGGGUCUGCAGUGAUAAUGGAGUCACCCCCAGCCUCCCCAGGCAGUCCCGGCUCUGCCCUUUGAACCAGGACCCCUUGGCUACUGCCAGGAGCCCCUCCUCACGGCCUGUUCCCUUUUAUCUGCCGCUCCUGGACAACCCACCAGAGGGCGUAGCUUCUCUUUCUUGGCGCUGGGGCAGAAACCAGGCGGACCCACCCUGGCCCUUCCGGGUUCAUGUACCCUGCUCCCCAGGACCAGCUCCCUGUGCCCCAGCCCCUGGCACUGGCCCCUCCCUGGCCCAACCCCCAGUCCACUGGCUCAGACCUAGCCGAGCUGGAUGCAGUGGCCAUUGUCCUGCAAACAGCCAUCCGUGUCCCUGGGGGUGGAUCGGCUGGCUCCAGUGUCCAGCGACGCCAGGUCACCUUCCUUCUAGGCAGUCCAAUCCAGGUGCCCACUGUGGGCAGCAGUGUUUCCUCCCAGCUGGCCAGCCUGGGAAUGCAGCCAGAAUGUGCUGGGCAAGUGGCCUGCGGUGGGGGGGGGGUGGGUACGACACUGGAGCAGGUACCCCAGGGGCAGCCAGCGUCCACCCCAGGCAGGUACGGGCACUUGGGGCAAGCUCAGCAGAAAGCCGCCACCUACGGCCAGGCCUGAGUUCCUGGUCGGGGGGGACAUUUGGGGAAGAUUCCAGACUUCCUGAGCACAGGCUGCCCACCCUAGCUAUGGUGUUGGACGGGAAAUUCCUGCCCCCUGCUGCGUGGGGAGCUGCUAAGGGCACAGCUCGGGCCCUCCCUCGGGAGCCUCCAGUGGAAACUAUGUGGGGAGGAGACGUGGUAGGCAGCGCGCCCUUUCCCCAAACCCAGAGCGGCCGCGGCCUCUUGUGGGUGAAAGCCCGCUUGGCAGCGCGGGGUGAGGGGCAGGGAUCGCCUCAGGGAAGACGAACCCCGGCCCCGCCCGGGACACAGUGCGCCCCAGCCUCCGGCGCUGGCGGGGGAAGGCGCGUCCCAUUUCCUGCGGGCCGAGGAUGA
rnacentral:lncRNA from 1 species